rnacentral:rRNA from 1 species
GAUGAACGCUGGCGGCGUGCCUAAUACAUGCAAGUCGAACGGAGUAUGCAGCAAUGUAUGCUUAGCGGCGGACGGGUGAGUAACACGUGGGUAACCUGCCUCAAAGUGGGGGAUAGCCUUCCGAAAGGGAGAUUAAUACCGCAUAACAUAUUUUAAUCGCAUGAUUGAGAUAUCAAACGAGUAAUCGGCUUUGAGAUGGACCCGCGGCGCAUUAGCUAGUUGGUGAGGUAACGGCUCACCAAGGCGACGAUGCGUAGCCGACCUGAGAGGGUGAUCGGCCACAUUGGAACUGAGACACGGUCCAGACUCCUACGGGAGCUG